AUUGAACGCUGGCGGCAGGCCUAACACAUGCAAGUCGAACGGUAACAGGAAGCAGCUUGCUGCUUUGCUGACGAGUGGCGGACGGGUGAGUAAUGUCUGGGAAACUGCCUGAUGGAGGGGGAUAACUACUGGAAACGGUAGCUAAUACCGCAUAACGUCGCAAGACCAAAGAGGGGGACCUUCGGGCCUCUUGCCAUCGGAUUUGCCCAGAUGGGAUUAGCUAGUAGGUGGGGUAACGGCUCACCUAGGCGACGAUCCCUAGAUGGUCUGAGAGGAUGACCAGCCACACUGGAACUGAGACACGGUCCAGACUCCUACGGGAGGCAGCAGUGGGGAAUAUUGCACAAUGGGCGAAAGCAUGAUGCAGCAAUGCCGCGUGUAUGAAGAAGGCCUUCGGGUUGUAAAGUACUUUCAGCGGGGAGGAAGGGAGUAAAGUUAAUACCUUUGCUCAUUGACGUUACCCGCAGAAGAAGCACCGGCUAACUCCGUG
rnacentral:rRNA from 1 species